rnacentral:tRNA from 1 species
CCCUGGUUAGCUCAGUGGGUAGAGCGCUCCACUUGUAAUGGAGAGGUCC